GGGCCCCAUGCAAAAUCAUUUUACAGGGUCGUCACCCUGGUACACACUCCAUAAUAUGCACACAGAUACAAACUCACAGACAUACAAUCAUUCCCAGACAUAUGCACCACAGAUACGCUCUCCCAGACACACUCAAAGACAGACAUUCACACCUAAACAUUUGCACUCCCAAACAGACGCACGCACAAACAUUGCUAGAAACAAACAUUCCAAGCCAUUCACUGCCACACUCACAAGUACACUUUGCCACACACCAAGAUCCUUGCUGCCACACACACACAAAUAUGCACACACGUUACACACACAGAAACAAUAUAUCUGUUUAAGAGGCACAGUUCUUAAUCUAUUUAAGGUUCAAAUCCCUGUGCCCCUGGUUUUCUACCUAGUGUGCCUCUAGGAGCUUCAUGUUAUUUGUGUAUCUGAUUGUAUAACAGAGCUCCACAGCAAUAAUACUCACAGUAAUGUGUCUCAGUAUUAAG